rnacentral:rRNA from 1 species
GAAUUCGCCCUUAGAGUUUGAUCCUGGCUCAGGACGAACGCUGGCGGCGCGCCUAACACAUGCAAGUCGAACGAGCGAGAGAGAGCUUGCUUUCUCGAGCGAGUGGCGAACGGGUGAGUAACGCGUGAGGAACCUGCCUCAAAGAGGGGGACAACAGUUGGAAACGACUGCUAAUACCGCAUAAGCCCACGGCUCGGCAUCGAGCAGAGGGAAAAGGAGCAAUCCGCUUUGAGAUGGCCUCGCGUCCGAUUAGCUAGUUGGUGAGGUAAUGGCCCACCAAGGCGACGAUCGGUAGCCGGACUGAGAGGUUGAACGGCCACAUUGGGACUGAGACACGGCCCAGACUCCUACGGGAGGCAGCAGUGGGGAAUAUUGCACAAUGGGGGAAACCCUGAUGCAGCGACGCCGCGUGGAGGAAGAAGGUCUUCGGAUUGUAAACUCCUGUUGUUGAGGAAGAUAAUGACGGUACUCAACAAGGAAGUGACGGCUAACUACGUGCCAGCAGCCGCGGUAAAACGUAGGUCACAAGCGUUGUCCGGAAUUACUGGGUGUAAAGGGAGCGCAGGCGGGAAGACAAGUUGGAAGUGAAAUCCAUGGGCUCAACCCAUGAACUGCUUUCAAAACUGUUUUUCUUGAGUAGUGCAGAGGUAGGCGGAAUUCCCGGUGUAGCGGUGGAAUGCGUAGAUAUCGGGAGGAACACCAGUGGCGAAGGCGGCCUACUGGGCACCAACUGACGCUGAGGCUCGAAAGUGUGGGUAGCAAACAGGAUUAGAUACCCUGGUAGUCCACACUGUAAACGAUGAUUACUAGGUGUUGGAGGAUUGACCCCUUCAGUGCCGCAGUUAACACAAUAAGUAAUCCACCUGGGGAGUACGACCGCAAGGUUGAAACUCAAAGGAAUUGACGGGGGCCCGCACAAGCAGUGGAGUAUGUGGUUUAAUUCGACGCAACGCGAAGAACCUUACCAAGUCUUGACAUCCUGCGACGGUUCUGGAAUCAGAACUUUCCUUCGGGACGCAGAGACAGGUGGUGCAUGGUUGUCGUCAGCUCGUGUCGUGAGAUGUUGGGUUAAGUCCCGCAACGAGCGCAACCCUUAUGGUCAGUUACUACGCAAGAGGACUCUGGCCAGACUGCCGUUGACAAAACGGAGGAAGGUGGGGAUGACGUCAAAUCAUCAUGCCCUUUAUGACUUGGGCUACACACGUACUACAAUGGCGUUAAACAAAGAGAAGCAAGACCGCGAGGUGGAGCAAAACUCAGAAACAACGUCCCAGUUCGGACUGCAGGCUGCAACUCGCCUGCACGAAGUCGGAAUUGCUAGUAAUCGCAGAUCAGCAUGCUGCGGUGAAUACGUUCCCGGGCCUUGCACUCACCGCCCGUCA